rnacentral:rRNA from 1 species
UUAGACCGUCGUGAGACAGGUUAGUUUUACCCUACUGAUGGAGUGUUAUCGUAAUAGUAAUUGAGCUUAGUACGAGAGGAACCGCUCAUUCAGAUAUUUGGUAUUUGCGCCUGUCCGAUCGGGCAAUGGCGCGAAGCUAUCAUCUGCUGGAUAAUGGCUGAACGCCUCUAAGCCAGAAUCCGUGCUAGAAACGAUGAUGUUGGUCCCGCACAUGUAACUUGUGUUUAAAUAGAGCUUUGCUCGUGAACCAAAUAUGGUGGAUUUGGUUGCUUAUGCGGAAAUGCUUAAGUGACUUGUCUACGGAUUGUAAUCAAAAUAUGGGCGGGGGUGAAUCCUUUGCAGACGACUUGAAUGGG